rnacentral:rRNA from 1 species
GAACGCUGGCGGCGUGCCUAAUACAUGCAAGUUGAGCGCUGAAGGUUGGUACUUGUACCAACUGGAUGAGCAGCGAACGGGUGAGUAACGCGUGGGGAAUCUGCCUUUGAGCGGGGGACAACAUUUGGAAACGAAUGCUAAUACCGCAUAAAAACUUUAAACACAAGUUUUAAGUUUGAAAGAUGCAAUUGCAUCACUCAAAGAUGAUCCCGCGUUGUAUUAGCUAGUUGGUGAGGUAAAGGCUCACCAAGGCGAUGAUACAUAGCCGACCUGAGAGGGUGAUCGGCCACAUUGGGACUGAGACACGGCCCAAACUCCUACGGGAGGCAGCAGUAGGGAAUCUUCGGCAAUGGACGAAAGUCUGACCGAGCAACGCCGCGUGAGUGAAGAAGGUUUUCGGAUCGUAAAACUCUGUUGGUAGAGAAGAACGUUGGUGAGAGUGGAAAGCUCAUCAAGUGACGGUAACUACCCAGAAAGGGACGGCUAACUACGUG